UUCGUGUACAACAUGAAAGUUCUUUAGCAAACAAACAAAUAAAUAAUGUAUAACAUGUUUUCUAGAAACACUACGAAACGAAUAAAUCAUCUUAAAUUGUAUCUAACAGCAUUUUGGUAAUUGUUGUGUUAGAUGGUUUGAGAAUAAAUUCCAUAAACAUUGAACUAUAUCGGUUCAGAACCAAGUGUGGUUGUUCCAUCAUGAUGCUACGUAUAUCUAUAUGAAGGGGACUUCUAAAUAAUAUAUAUAUAUAUAUAUAUAUAUGGAGUGUAUAUUCCACGUAUAUAUAACAAAAUAAAACAAUACAAACAGAUAAACAGGAAUCCAAAUACUUAGAAGGCACUAAUCUCAUACAUCGACAGGGGCACUCUCAUACUUAGAAGCUUCCCAUCAGCUGAAGCCACGAAAUGAAGAAAGCCAUGAUGGUUGUGAUUGUGAGGAGGGUGAAGAAGAGGAGUAUCAGGUGGUGCCAUAAGAUGCGGCUCUGGUGAUUUGAUCAUCGUCUUUUCCGUGAAGAUCAGAUAAGAUGCAUUCUGCUUUUCAGGAAACCUUCAUUUUCACUUUGUCAAACAACUAGUUACAACACCACAUAUGCUGGUCUUACUCACUCUCAUGUUAAUACCAGUUCCUCUCCUCGCGAAUGCUCUUAAACAGAUAAAUAUGAAUCUUGGUUUAGGUCUCAGGCAUAACAGCGUGGUGUCAUAUCCACUGAUCAUCUUGCUUUGAAAUGAUUGUAUAUAUUGAUAUUGGGUUUACAUAGAUCUGGCACAACAGAACAGGUUUGAUGGUUUAGCUUCUUAUCGUCUUGAGAAAUCUUUGCUAGUUCAGUUUAUAGACAUGAAGAUUGCUGGAAGCAUGAUUAGAAACCUUUAGGCUUUCAAGGGGAGAUUUCAAAUCGAGGAGCUCUCUCAGACGAUGAGCAGAAUGAUAAUUGAAUAAAUACAGAUCAGUUCGAAGAAAAAUGAAGAAUGAAACUAAUGAUAAUUGGUUCAUUUUAAAUGCCACAUUGGCACUGAGCUCACAAGAGAGGACAUUAAGAAACUCUACUCCAAAAUUGGUCUCAUCUAUCUAUAUGGUCACGGGGAGCUUGCUAUAUGUGAAGAUAUAUAUAUAGAUGUGCAUUGUCUCAAAGAUAUACUCUGGUUUCUAUGGAUGGUGUGUACUGGAGAUGGCUUCUUUCCUCAUAUAAAGAAGAUUACUAUCUGACUUUAUGUUAUUUUUUGUUAUAUUUGGUUUUAACUACAAGCUAUGAUGGUGCUAUAGUUUUAUACUUUUAUUGCCUUUCAGUCUGAACAUUAUUACCUGUUAAUUCUUUUGCAAAGACAGAUUGCCCAUACCGGACUGAUUAUGAGGCAACACCAACAAUAUUGAGCUUCCUUAUGUUUCUAAAAAAAAUGGCGAAGGCUGUCGGGUCAGGUGGACAGAGAUUGGGAACAAAACAUUACAAGCUCACACAUUUCAUAGAGAAAAUAAGCUCGGGAUAGAGCGAAGAAGAAUUCAUGGAUCUACAAAUCCUACAACUUUGAAGGUUGGAUGGUCCAGAAGUCGUGGAUUCACGCAGUAUCGUCUACAAGUUCUUAGUCUGACGAAGAGCAAAAAACAAUAAAGAAGAGUGCCUGUCUUAAAAUUGGAGGUGGAAUAAAAACUCAUUUGGUUGCUUUUGAUUUUCUUCGUUGUCCUUUUUAUUGAGAAAUCGUACAAUUUGCGAUUUCACAUUCGUUUUAUGCCAAGUGAGUGUGUAUGAAGAUUUCCUAAUAAGAAUAUAUGACAUUUGUUUA